GCGAGAGCGUUCAGGACGCGCGCGGGGAGCCGGGUGCGCAGCCUUUCGCCGCGCCGGCCUCAGCGCGCCCUGUCCCCGCGCACGGGUGAGGGAAGGGCCGACUCCGGCCGCCCGAGCGCGAAGAUUAACUUCGGCACAGGUUGAGAGACUUAACCGCUCUGCGCCAAAGUGCCUGCACCUGUGACCUUGACCUGGAAAAGAAUAAAGACACAGACUCCUUGAGCAUGAAUCUUCAAGUUUUGCUCUCUACCUUAAAGAACCUGAAAGUUGGAAUAACACAUGGUGAAACAUAGUAAGAAACUGCUGCCAGUUAUCCAAGGUGAAACCAAAGUGAUGAAUCCCUUGAAAAUGAAGCAGAAUAAUUACUGCUGUCAGUCUUCCAAGUUGAAGACAAAAGGAUGACCAAGAUCUCAAGGAACUCAGGGUAUAGGAGUUAGGACUCUGGGGCAGGGCAGGGGAGAUAACAGACUAAAGAGAGAAGAGGAUGAAAAUGAAAGAAGGGACUCCUACAUAGCCCUUGAACCUGGACAGAUAGCAUUUCAUGGAGAAAGACCAGAAGUAUUUUUUACCCUUUAUUGACGUCUGGGCACAUUAGUGACCUUUUAAUAAUAUUUUUUUAAAUAAUAGGUUGUAUCCAUAUACUCACUCAGCUUAUUCUAGUUUGACUACAAAGUUAGUGA